rnacentral:tRNA from 1 species
GGGGAUAUAGCUCAGUUGGUAGAGUGCUUGCCUCACAUGCAUAAGGCCCUGGGUUCAAUCCCCAGCACCUCA